rnacentral:tRNA from 1 species
GCCGGUGUGUUGGAAUUGGCAGACGAGGUGGACUCAAAAUCCAUUGGUAGCGAUACCGUGCGGGUUCGACCCCCGCCACCGGCACCA